AGAGACAGCAGCAGCCGCGGUAAUACAGAGGGUGCGAGCGUUAAUCGGAUUUACUGGGCGUAAAGCGUGCGUAGGCGGCUUUUUAAGUCGGAUGUGAAAUCCCUGAGCUUAACUUAGGAAUUGCAUUCGAUACUGGGAAGCUAGAGUAUGGGAGAGGAUGGUAGAAUUCCAGGUGUAGCGGUGAAAUGCGUAGAGAUCUGGAGGAAUACCGAUGGCGAAGGCAGCCAUCUGGCCUAAUACUGACGCUGAGGUACGAAAGCAUGGGGAGCAAACAGGAUUAGAUACCCGCGUAGUCCCUGUCUCUUAUAC
rnacentral:rRNA from 1 species